CUAGCUUGCUAGGUGGAUUAGUGGCGCACGGGUGAGUAACGCAUAGAUGACAUGCCCUUUAGUUUGGGAUAGCCACUAGAAAUGGUGAUUAAUACCAAAUACCACCCUACGGGGGAAAGAUUUAUCGCUAAAGGAUUGGUCUAUGUCCUAUCAGCUUGUUGGCGGGGUAAGAGCCCACCAAGGCAAUGACGGGUAUCCGGCCUGAGAGGGUGAACGGACACACUGGAACUGAGACACGGUCCAGACUCCUACGGGAGGCAGCAGUAGGGAAUAUUGCUCAA
rnacentral:rRNA from 1 species